AACUCACUAUGUAGACCUGGAACUUACAGAGAUCCACUUGCCUCUGCCUCCCAGUGCGCCAACACAGCUGACCUAGAUGAGGUCCUUAAAACAUUAGAUGUUUUGUCCAGUGUGAUGGCACAUGCCUUUAAUCCCAGCACUUGGGAGACAAAGGCAGGUGGAUCUCUGUAAGUGCCAGACCCUGUCUCAAAAACACCAAAAAACCCAAAAAACUUGAUGUUCUUUGAUCCUAGUGUGCAUGCCAUUCCUGCACCAUUCCAGAGCCAUAUGUCUUGCCAUGUCUUCAUUGCUUCUGUUCAAUGUUUUUAACUUGAUAAAUUUAACAACACUUCAAAAGCUUCUUUCCUAUAAUAGAGAAUUUUCUCCAUAUGUACAUCCUGAACAAAGGAAAGCUCAGUUAAGCUAUUGCAUUAAUGACUACAGCAGUGAUUUCUACCUGUGAUCAUGGUAUAGUAGCCAAGAUCAAGAGAGUAAUCAUGGAGAGAGACACUUACCCUCGCAAGUGGGGUUUAGGCCCAAAGGCAAGUCAGAAGAAGAUGAUGAUCAAGCAGGGCCUUCUGGACAAGCAUGGCAAGCCCACAGACAACACCCCUGCCACCUGGAAACAGGACUAUGUUGACUACAGUGAUUCUGGCAAGAGAGAAGUGGUUGCAGAAGCACCACCAGCCCCUCAGGUAGCUGCUGAAUCAGUAAAAGUCAAAAAAGUAAGUGGCGUGAUCUGUUUGGAAAUAAUUCUUAGAAGCACCAGUGUUUAAUAACCUAUCUAAGUUUACCCAUGUAAUCCUGGCUAGUAAGGCAGGCUUUCUCAUGAGCCUUAUCCUUACUAUAUGCACA
rnacentral:lncRNA from 1 species